AUAGGAUGAGAGAAUUUAUUCAAACUUCUGAUUUGAUAUUGCAUAUUGUGAUUUGAGAGUGAUAACACUUUAACCCAGAGAGACUUGGUGAGAGUGUGAUAUAAGUUGACAGGUAAAGUCAUAUCAAUGAGGGAAAGAGUUUCUAGCUCGUUGGCCAUGUGGAAGAAUCAGAAAACCUGAAAAACAUCAAGAGGUCCAGUGCGAAAGAUUUCAGCAGUAUUGUGGUCAGAACUGUUU
rnacentral:lncRNA from 1 species